rnacentral:rRNA from 1 species
UGCCUCAGUAACGGCGAGUGAAGCGGCAAAAGCUCAAAUUUGAAACCCUCGGGAUUGUAAUUUGAAGAUUUGGCAUUGGAGAAAGCUAACCCAAGUUGCUUGGAAUAGUACGUCAUAGAGGGUGACAACCCCGUCUGGCUAACCGUUCUCCAUGUAUUGCCUUAUCAAAGAGUCGAGUUGUUUGGGAAUGCAGCUCAAAGUGGGUGGUAAACUCCAUCUAAAGCUAAAUACUGGUGAGAGACCGAUAGCGAACAAGUACUGUGAAGGAAAGGUGAAAAGAACUUUGAAAAGAGAGUGAAAUAGUAUGUGAAAUUGUUGAUAGGGAAGGAAAUGAGUGGAGAGUGGCCGAGGUUUCAGCCGCCCCUCGUGGGCGGUGUACUGCCGACGCCGAGUCAUCGAUAGCGAGACGAGGGUUACAAAUGGGAGCGCCUU